GACGAACGCUGGCGGCGCGCCUAACACAUGCAAGUCGAGCGGUAAGGCCCUUUCGGGGGUACACGAGCGGCGAACGGGUGAGUAACACGUGGGUGACCUGCCCUCAGCUCUGGGAUAAGCCUGGGAAACCGGGUCUAAUACCGGAUAUGACUCCAUGACGCAUGUUGUGGGGUGGAAAGCCUUGUGCGGCUGAGGAUGGGCCCGCGGCCUAUCAGCUUGUUGGUGGGGUGAUGGCCUACCAAGGCGACGACGGGUAGCCGGCCUGAGAGGGCGACCGGCCACACUGGGACUGAGACACGGCCCAGACUCCUACGGGAGGCAGCAGUGGGGAAUCUUGCGCAAUGGGCGAAAGCCUGACGCAGCGACGCCGCGUGAGGGAUGACGGCCU
rnacentral:rRNA from 1 species